rnacentral:rRNA from 1 species
UUUGAUCCUGGCUCAGGAUGAACGCUAGCGGCAGGCUUAACACAUGCAAGUCGAGGGGCAUCGCGGGUGGCAACACCUGGCGGCGACCGGCGAACGGGUGAGUAACGCGUGAGCAACAUGUCCUCAGUCGGGGGAUAAGCGAGGGAAACUUCGUCUAAUACCCCAUAACACUUUCAGGCGCAUGCCUUUAAGUUGAAAGCUUUUUUUGCGACUUUGGUUUGGCUCGCGUGACAUUAGCUAGUCGGUGGGGUAACGGCUCACCGAGGCUACGAUGUCUAGGGGUUCUGAGAGGAAGGCCCCCCACACUGGGACUGAGACACGGCCCAGACUCCUACGGGAGGCAGCAGUGAGGAAUAUUGGACAAUGGAUGGAAAUCUGAUCCAGCCAUGCCGCGUGCAGGAAGACGGCCUUAUGGGUUGUAAACUGCUUUUAUACGGGAGCAAUAAGGGUUACGAGUAAUCCGAUGAGAGUACUGUAUGAAUAAGGAUCGGCUAACUCCGUGCCAGCAGCCGCGGUAAUACGGAGGAUCCGAGCGUUAUCCGGAAUUAUUGGGUUUAAAGGGUGCGUAGGCGGCCAUUUAAGUCAGCGGUGAAAUUUUGCAGCUUAACUGUAACAGUGCCGUUGAUACUGUUUGGCUAGGAUUUGGUUGUAGUGUGCGGAAUGUGUGGUGUAGCGGUGAAAUGCUUAGAUAUCACGAGGAACUCCGAUUGCGCAGGCAGCUUACUAAACCACUACUGACGCUCAUGCACGAAGGCGUGGGGAUCAAACAGGAUUAGAUACCCUGGUAGUCCACGCAGUAAACGAAGAUUACUAGUUGUUUGCGAUACAAUGUAAGCGACUGAGCGAAAGCGUUAAGUAAUCCACCUGGGGAGUACGUUCGCAAGAAUGAAACUCAAAGGAAUUGACGGGGGCCCGCACAAGCGGAGGAACAUGUGGUUUAAUUCGAUGAUACGCGAGGAACCUUACCCGGGCUUGAAAUGCGGCGGACCGGCAGAGAGAUCUGCCUUCCCUUCGGGGCCGCCGUGUAGGUGCUGCAUGGUUGUCGUCAGCUCGUGCCGUGAGGUGUCGGCUUAAGUGCCAUAACGAGCGCAACCCUCAUCAUUAGUUACUAACAGGUCAUGCUGAGGACUCUAGUGAGACUGCCAUCGUAAGAUGCGAGGAAGGUGGGGAUGACGUCAAAUCAGCACGGCCCUUACGUCCGGGGCGACACACGUGUUACAAUGGGUGGUACAAAGGGCAGCUACCUGGCGACAGGAUGCUAAUCUCCAAAACCACUCUCAGUUCGGAUCGGAGUCUGCAACUCGACUCCGUGAAGCUGGAUUCGCUAGUAAUCGCGCAUCAGCCACGGCGCGGUGAAUACGUUCCCGGGCCUUGCACACACCGCCCGUCA